AUACAACAACUUAUUAGAAACGCAAGACAGCCAAUACGAAAUGCUCGAAAAACGGUCGUGCUUAAAGCAUGCCCUCAGCGUCGAGGAACAUGUGCUAGGGUGUAUGUGCGACUCGAUCAAAUGCCACUUUGUAACUGGGUGAUCAUAAAGGUGCUCUACAGGUAUCUCCAAAGGUACUUCUUGGGUUGCAUGGAUUGA
rnacentral:rRNA from 1 species